AUGGAGAGGAAACUGGGAGCUGUGCUGGGGAUUCUGUGCAUGUGGAUUUGCUGGGUGAGAGGAGUUGAGGUGGAGCAGAGUCCUUCAGCCCUAAGUCUCCAAGAAGGAACAAGUUAUGUUCUCACAUGCAACUUUUCUACAAGCAUGAGAAGUGUGCAGUGGUUCCAGCAGAAUUCCAGGGGCAGCCUCAUCAGCCUUUUCAACCUGACUCCAGGAACAAAGCAGAAUGGGAGGCUAAACUCAACCUUCAACUCUAAGGAGCGCAAGAGCACCCUUCACAUCAGAGAUGCCCAGCUGGAGGACUCUGGCACCUACUUCUGUGCAGCAGAGGCACAGUGCUUCCAGCAAGCCUGCAGCCUGGCCCCAAACUGUGUCUGGGUGUGCAGCUUACAGCCCUGCCACAGGCAGACUCUGCAGGUGGAUUUUCACAGUUGUGGCUUUAUCAGAUCUCCACAAAGAAGGAGUGAGGAAACUGCAGAAGUUCACACUUAA